AGAGUUUGAUCAUGGCUCAGAACGAACGCUGGCGGCAGGCCUAACACAUGCAAGUCGAACGGGUCCUUCGGGACUAGUGGCGGACGGGUGAGUAACGCGUGGGAAUAUGCCCUUCAGUUCGGAAUAGCCUCGGGAAACUGGGAGUAAUACCGGAUACGGUCUACGGACGAAAGAUUUAUCGCCGAAGGAUUAGCCCGCGUUGGAUUAGGUAGUUGGUGGGGUAAUGGCCUACCAAGCCGACGAUCCAUAGCUGGUUUGAGAGGAUGAUCAGCCACACUGGGACUGAGACACGGCCCAGACUCCUACGGGAGGCAGCAGUGGGGAAUCUUAGACAAUGGGGGAAACCCUGAUCUAGCCAUGCCGCGUGAGCGAUGAAGGCCUUAGGGUUGUAAAGCUCUUUCAGUGGGGAAGAUAAUGACGGUACCCGCAGAAGAGCCCCGGAUUGCUC
rnacentral:rRNA from 1 species